rnacentral:rRNA from 3 species
UAAUUGAAGAGUUUGAUCAUGGCUCAGAUUGAACGCUGGCGGCAGGCUUAACACAUGCAAGUCGAGCGGUAGCACAGGGGAGCUUGCUCCCUGGGUGACGAGCGGCGGACGGGUGAGUAAUGUCUGGGAAACUGCCUGAUGGAGGGGGAUAACUACUGGAAACGGUAGCUAAUACCGCAUAACGUCGCAAGACCAAAGAGGGGGACCUUCGGGCCUCUUGCCAUCAGAUGUGCCCAGAUGGGAUUAGCUAGUAGGUGGGGUAAUGGCUCACCUAGGCGACGAUCCCUAGCUGGUCUGAGAGGAUGACCAGCCACACUGGAACUGAGACACGGUCCAGACUCCUACGGGAGGCAGCAGUGGGGAAUAUUGCACAAUGGGCGCAAGCCUGAUGCAGCCAUGCCGCGUGUGUGAAGAAGGCCUUCGGGUUGUAAAGCACUUUCAGCGAGGAGGAAGGUGGUGAGCUUAAUACGUUCAUCAAUUGACGUUACUCGCAGAAGAAGCACCGGCUAACUCCGUGCCAGCAGCCGCGGUAAUACGGAGGGUGCAAGCGUUAAUCGGAAUUACUGGGCGUAAAGCGCACGCAGGCGGUUUGUUAAGUCAGAUGUGAAAUCCCCGGGCUCAACCUGGGAACUGCAUUUGAAACUGGCAAGCUAGAGUCUCGUAGAGGGGGGUAGAAUUCCAGGUGUAGCGGUGAAAUGCGUAGAGAUCUGGAGGAAUACCGGUGGCGAAGGCGGCCCCCUGGACGAAGACUGACGCUCAGGUGCGAAAGCGUGGGGAGCAAACAGGAUUAGAUACCCUGGUAGUCCACGCUGUAAACGAUGUCGAUUUGGAGGUUGUGCCCUUGAGGCGUGGCUUCCGGAGCUAACGCGUUAAAUCGACCGCCUGGGGAGUACGGCCGCAAGGUUAAAACUCAAAUGAAUUGACGGGGGCCCGCACAAGCGGUGGAGCAUGUGGUUUAAUUCGAUGCAACGCGAAGAACCUUACCUACUCUUGACAUCCAGAGAACUUUCCAGAGAUGGAUUGGUGCCUUCGGGAACUCUGAGACAGGUGCUGCAUGGCUGUCGUCAGCUCGUGUUGUGAAAUGUUGGGUUAAGUCCCGCAACGAGCGCAACCCUUAUCCUUUGUUGCCAGCGGUUCGGCCGGGAACUCAAAGGAGACUGCCAGUGAUAAACUGGAGGAAGGUGGGGAUGACGUCAAGUCAUCAUGGCCCUUACGAGUAGGGCUACACACGUGCUACAAUGGCAUAUACAAAGAGAAGCGACCUCGCGAGAGCAAGCGGACCUCAUAAAGUAUGUCGUAGUCCGGAUUGGAGUCUGCAACUCGACUCCAUGAAGUCGGAAUCGCUAGUAAUCGUAGAUCAGAAUGCUACGGUGAAUACGUUCCCGGGCCUUGUACACACCGCCCGUCACACCAUGGGAGUGGGUUGCAAAAGAAGUAGGUAGCUUAACCUUCGGGAGGGCGCUUACCACUUUGUGAUUCAUGACUGGGGUGAAGUCGUAACAAGGUAACCGUAGGGGAACCUGCGGUUGGAUCACCUCCUUA